rnacentral:rRNA from 1 species
UUUAUGGAGAGUUUGAUCCUGGCUCAGGAUGAACGCUGGCGGCGUGCCUAAUACAUGCAAGUCGAGCGAACAGAUAAGGAGCUUGCUCCUUUGACGUUAGCGGCGGACGGGUGAGUAACACGUGGGUAACCUACCUAUAAGACUGGAAUAACUCCGGGAAACCGGGGCUAAUGCCGGAUAACAUGUUGAACCGCAUGGUUCUACAGUGAAAGACGGUCUUGCUGUCACUUAUAGAUGGACCCGCGCCGUAUUAGCUAGUUGGUGGGGUAACGGCCUACCAAGGCGACGAUACGUAGCCGACCUGAGAGGGUG